CUUUAUCUCCCCCUCCCCCACCUCCCGGUCCUCGUCCCUGGUGACGCCCCCAAUCGAGCCGAGCUCCUCGCGAUUCCCAAUCCCCGCACGCCUCCUCCUCCGGCCCCGCCGCCGCCGCCGCCGCCGCCGCCUCGCCACAGGCUUAGAGUUAUUCAAGAUGGAACACAAGGAGGCGGGUUGCCAGCAGCCGGAGGGCCCAAUCCUAUGCGUUAAUAACUGUGGCUUCUUUGGCAGCGCCGCGACCAUGAACAUGUGCUCCAAGUGCCACAAGGAGAUGGUCAUGAAGGAGGAGCAGGCCAAGCUGGCUGCCUCCUCCUUCGAUAGCAUCGUCAACGGUGGCGAUGGUGGGAAAGCACCUGUUGUUGCGGCUGUUGCUGCGAGCGCGGAGGUGGCGGUUGCUCAAGUUGACGUGAAGGCGCUCGUUGUGCAGCCUGCUGCUGAUGUUGCAGGCACCAGCGAAGCUGUUGCCGUGAGCCCCAAGAGGAAGGAGGGGCCCAAUCGGUGCUCAACUUGCAGGAAGAGGGUUGGGCUGACGGGAUUCAACUGCCGAUGUGGUAACAUGUACUGUUCACUGCAUCGCUAUUCCGACAAGCAUGACUGCCAGUUCGACUACCGGACUGCAGCUAGGGAUGCCAUCGCCAAGGCCAACCCGGUGGUGAAGGCAGAGAAGCUCGACAAGAUUUAGGUGUCUUACAGGGAAGAAAUGGUUGCAAUCUGUGAAGGUUCAUCAUCCGUCUUUGCUGUGCCAAUUGCCAUCCUUGCACCUCCCUUUCUUGUUGGCUGCCGCAUUUCCUAAAUUGUACGGCACCGUGAUGCACACUGCGUCGUGGCAGCUGCAAGAACUCAGUCCUCUCAGUCAUUCCGAAUGGUUUGCGUGUUGUGUAACUUUAUUCAUGGUGGUUUUUUCGGUCAGUAUUGUGGCUUCUCAUUUUAGCUAGCUCUGUUAUGUACUAUUGUCCCAUGUGUGUCAAAUUCUGAUCAGUAAUAGUAGCCAGCAAUGGUUCAUCAUAUUGCGUGUGAGUUCAUUUUACAUGUUUGAGUAUGUUCAGUUCAAUUAUGUUUAUGGUUGUAUAGUUGGUGUUCUCACUCUUGUUAGUUCGGAAAAUUGUACUAGAUCACCACUACUUUAGUGAUCUAUACUCUCUUAUAUUUCUUUACGGAGGGAGUACUUGGUUAGCUCUGCACUCAAAUAUACAUCCAAAAUAGAAGAGCAAUGAGAAACACGGUUAUGGUUCUUGAGAUUUAGUUCUAAAACAUGUGAGCAAUGGCAAACAUGGAUACAGUUCUUGUAUGUCAUUGCUCUAAUCUGAUGAUAGGAUGAAAAGAAUGGAGGCCUUGUGGUUGAUCACAAGUUGAAAAAUUAUGCCUUGGG
rnacentral:rRNA from 1 species